CGGUGAGUAGCGCAGCUUGGUAGCGCAUCUGGUUUGGGGUCGGGGGUUCGAAUCCCUCUUCACCGACCA
rnacentral:tRNA from 1 species